GUGUCAGCAGCCGCGGUAAUACGUAGGUGGCAAGCGUUGUCCGGAUUUACUGGGUGUAAAGGGCGCGUAGGCGGGAGAACAAGUCAGAUGUGAAAUGUGGGGGCUUAACCCUCAAGCUGCAUUUGAAACUGUACUUCUUGAGUAUCGGAGAGGCAGGCGGAAUUCCUAGUGUAGCGGUGAAAUGCGUAGAUAUUAGGAGGAACACCAGUGGCGAAGGCGGCCUGCUGGACGACAACUGACGCUGAGGCGCGAAAGCGUGGGGAGCAAACAGGAUUAGAUACCCUAGUAGUCC
rnacentral:rRNA from 1 species